rnacentral:tRNA from 1 species
AGGGUAAUAGUUAAUUAUAACAUCUAAAUUGCACUUAGAAGGUAUUGUGUAGUCAAUUUACCUUG